rnacentral:lncRNA from 1 species
AGCCUGUAUGUCUGCAAGGAGCUGCCACUUCUAAGCAGAGGCCUUGUAUGACUCCAAGGGUUUCCUGAGCUCAAGCAGUUAUUGAUGCCAGCUGGACCUCUGGAGAGGCAUUUCUCUGAGUUAGUCUGGCCAAGUACAAAUAAGUCACAAGCCUGUCUUCCAAGCCCAGCUUUAAGAUAGCCUCCCCAAAUCACCAGCCUCUCACCUCUGGAGUACAGCUUGCUUGUUCCUAGCACAAGGCUCAGGUCAUAGCCCUUUACUGCUGAGUUUCUGCCAUCAGCCUAUGCCUCUAAAAGCAACUGCAGGAGGAAGCCAGUGUCCCAAGGGCACCAUUAGCUUUGUUACUAUGAGCAGCCUCACCUGGGGCUCACCCACACCUGCUGGCACUAAUUAAGAACAGCCCUGGGCAUCUAGAACCUUCUCAGAGCUGUGCUGCUGCUUCUCUAGACGUGUCUCUUGCACGGACCUCAUCUAAGCCAAUGAUGUGCCAAAUAAGGUGCAUCAAAGAGGAUUGCAUACAUGGGCUGCUGCUGAACUGUGAGCUGUUCUCUUUUGGAGCUGGAUGUGACGACCCUUGGGGGUCCCUUCCAACUCAGGAUAUUCUGAUUGCUGGACUGCUGCUUACAGCUCUUCACAGCCCUCCUACUUGUUCUUGUUCGCUGCAUCUGUUUGAAAGCGUCUUGAAGAUGAAGUUAUUUCCUGGAGGAAUUCUGAUGGUGCAAUCUGCCCUUUUUCUUUAGCUGAAGAAGGAUGGAGGAAAAUUUCUGGCUUCUGAAAUCAUACAAACUCCCCACUGAUGUCUGCGUGAGAAAAGGAAGAUCUAAGUGAG